rnacentral:rRNA from 1 species
GGGCCCGCACAAGCGGUGGAGUAUGUGGUUUAAUUCGAUGCAACGCGAAGAACCUUACCAGGGUUUGACAUCCUGCGAAUCUCUUGGAAACGAGAGAGUGCCUUCGGGAGCGCAGUGACAGGUGGUGCAUGGCUGUCGUCAGCUCGUGUCGUGAGAUGUUGGGUUAAGUCCCGCAACGAGCGCAACCCACAUCCCUAGUUGCCAGCAGUUUGGCUGGGCACCUAUGGAAACUGCCCGUGAUAAGCGGGAGGAAGGUGUGGAUGACGUCAAGUCCUCAUGGCCCUUACGGGUUGGGCUACACACGUGCUACAAUGGUAGUGACAAUGGGU